rnacentral:misc_RNA from 1 species
GAUGAAGAACGUAGUGAAAUGCGAUAAGUAGUGUGAAUUGCAGAAUUCAGUGAAUCAUCGAAUCUUUGAACGCACAUUGCGCCCUUUGGUAUUCCUUAGGGCAUGCCUGUUCGAGCGUCAUUUAAACCUUCAAGCUCAGCUUGGUGAUGGGUGACUGUCCUCCCCUCGCGGGGGGACUCGCCUCAAAAACAUUGGCGGCCGGUACAUUGGCUUCGAGCGCAGCAGAAACGCGGUCUCGAGCCCGGUGGAUCGGCUCCCAUAAGUCUAUUCUUUUAUUUUGACCUCGGAUCAGGUAGGGAUACCCGCUGAACUUAAGCAUAUCAAUAAGCGGAGGA